GACGAACGCUGGCGGCGUGCUUAACACAUGCAAGUCGAACGGAAAGGCCCUGCUUUUGUGGGGUGCUCGAGUGGCGAACGGGUGAGUAACACGUGAGUAACCUGCCAUUGACUUUGGGAUAACUUCAGGAAACUGGGGCUAAUACCGGAUAGGAGCUCCUGCUGCAUGGUGGGGGUUGGAAAGUUUCGGCGGUUGGGGAUGGACUCGCGGCUUAUCAGCUUGUUGGUGGGGUAGUGGCUUACCAAGGCUUUGACGGGUAGCCGGCCUGAGAGGGUGACCGGCCAAAUUGGGACUGAGAUACGGCCCAGACUCCUACGGGAGGCAGCAGUGGGGAAUAUGGCACAAUGGGCGGAAGCCUGAUGCAGCAACGCCGCGUGCGGGAUGACGGCCUUCGGGUUGUAAACCGCUUUCGCCUGUGACGAAGCGUGAGUGACGGUAAUGGGUAAAGAAGCACCGGCUAACUACGUG
rnacentral:rRNA from 1 species